AACGAACGCUGGCGGCGGGCUUAACACAUGCAAGUCGAACGGAAAGGCCCUGCUUUUGUGGGGUGCUCGAGUGGCGAACGGGUGAGUAACAGGUGAGUAACCUGCCCUUGACUUUGGGAUAACUUCAGGAAACUGGGGCUAAUCCCGGAUAGGAGCUCCUGCUGCAUGGUGGGGGGUGGAACGUUUCGGCGGGUGGGGAUGGACUCGCGGCUUAUCAGCUUGUUGGUGGGGUAGUGGCUUACCAAGGCUUGGACGGGUAGCCGGCCUGAGAGGGUGACCGGCCACAUUGGGACUGAGAUACGGACCAGACUCCUACGGGAGGCAGCAGUGGGGAAUAUUGCACAAUGGGCGGAAGCCUGAUGCAGUAACGCCGCGUGUGGGAUGACGGCCUUCGGGUUGUAAACCGCUUUCGCCUGUGACGAAGCGUGAGUGACGGUAAUGGGUAAAGAAGCACCGGCUAACUACGUG
rnacentral:rRNA from 1 species